rnacentral:rRNA from 1 species
CCUACGGGAGGCAGCAGUGAGGAAUCUUGGACAAUGGGCGCAAGCCUGAUCCAGCCAUGCCGCGUGAGUGAUGAAGACCUUAGGGUCGUAAAGCUCUUUCGCCAGAGAUGAUAAUGACAGUAUCUGGUAAAGAAACCCCGGCUAACUCCGUGCCAGCAGCCGCGGUAAUACGGAGGGGGUUAGCGUUGUUCGGAAUUACUGGGCGUAAAGCGCGCGUAGGCGGAUUAGUAAGUUAGAGGUGAAAUCCCGGGGCUCAACCCCGGAACUGCCUUUAAUACUGCUAGUCUUGAGUUCGAGAGAGGUGAGUGGAAUUCCGAGUGUAGAGGUGAAAUUCGUAGAUAUUCGGAGGAACACCAGUGGCGAAGGCGGCUCACUGGCUCGAUACUGACGCUGAGGUGCGAAAGUGUGGGGAGCAAACAGGAUUAGAUACCCUGGUAGUCCACACCGUAAACGAUGAAUGCCAGUCGUCGGGUAGCAUGCUAUUCGGUGACACACCUAACGGAUUAAGCAUUCCGCCUGGGGAGUACGGUCGCAAGAUUAAAACUCAAAGGAAUUGACGGGG